AUUGAACGCUGGCGGCAUGCCUUACACAUGCAAGUCGAACGGCAGCGGGGGAGAAGCUUGCUUUUCCUGCCGGCGAGUGGCGAACGGGUGAGUAAUACAUCGGAACGUGCCCUGUAGUGGGGGAUAACUAGUCGAAAGAUUAGCUAAUACCGCAUACGACCUGAGGGUGAAAGUGGGGGACCGCAAGGCCUCAUGCUAUAGGAGCGGCCGAUGUCUGAUUAGCUAGUUGGUGGGGUAAAGGCCUACCAAGGCGACGAUCAGUAGCUGGUCUGGGAGGACGAUCAGCCACACUGGGACUGAGACACGGCCCAGACUCCUACGGGAGGCAGCAGUGGGGAAAUUUGGACAAUGGGCGAAGGCCUGAUCCAGCAAUGCCGCGUGUGUGAAGAAGGCCUUCGGGUUGUAAAGCACUUUUGUCCGGAAAGAAAUGGCUCUGGUUAAUACCUGGGGUCGAUGACGGUACCGGAAGAAUAAGGACCGGCUAACUACGUGCCAGCCGCCGCCGUAA
rnacentral:rRNA from 1 species